AAAAAUAAAGUGGUAAAAUUAUCAGGCAUUCAAUGACAGCAAAGAACCCAACAACACAAAACAAGAGAAAAAGUAGAAAGAACCAUGUAAUAAUGAGAGGAGGUAUUUGUUUACACCAUAAUGAACCGAGCAGACCCAGCAUCAAAGCGACUAGCACCAAGGCAGCCACGCCUUCUCCCAUGCAGAAGGAAGACACACUUCCGAGGUGCCAGACACCUGCCGAAGCCCUCAGCUGCCAAACCUAAUCUCCAAGACACGUGUCGCCACCACAACGGCUUGCACAAAGUCCCACAUUGGAACUUUGUGCAAAGCUCCCACUUUCACUUCCCUAUAAAUAGGGAACAGUACCCAGGUAAAACCAAGAACUAUUCUCCCACUUUUACUGUUACUCUGCCAGAAUUACUACUUGUAACUGACUUAGGCAUCGGAGAGCCUUCGGCCGGCACCACACCAGUGUCCGAAGCUUAACGAUUGCUUCUCCUCUUUUUACCUUCUACAGGUCUCUCACCAAUCCAUUUCACCAAGGGCCUCAGCCUCCUUCUCUGCUGAAGACUCAGCACAUCUAAUCACUAAGUUGCACUCAAUAUUGGCCGGGCCAUUUUGAGCAUCAACAGUUUGGCGCCGUCUGUGGGAAUCUGACACUUGAAUCCCCUCUUUCUCUAUCAGCCCAGCUGGCUCCUUCACCCCUCAGGCCCCGUCGCCUCUUCUUCACCCCACAUUCUGCUAUGUCGACCGAGGAUAGCCGCGAUACCCAGCAUCAUACCCCCCGCGAUGGUACUUCU
rnacentral:lncRNA from 1 species